rnacentral:rRNA from 1 species
CCUACGGGAGGCAGCAGUGGGGAAUAUUGGGCAAUGGGCGCAAGCCUGACCCAGCAACGCCGCGUGAGGGAAUAAGGCCCUACGGGUCGUAAACCUCUUUUGCCGGGGAGCAAGGGCGGGGACGUGUCCCGGCCCGGAGAGUACCCGGAGAAAAAGCAUCGGCUAACUCCGUGCCAGCAGCCGCGGUAAUACGGAGGAUGCGAGCGUUAUCCGGAUUUAUUGGGUUUAAAGGGUGCGUAGGCGGGUUGUUAAGUCAGUUGUGAAAGUUUGCGGCUGAACCGUAAAAUUGCAAUUGAUACUGGCAGUCUUGAGUACAGUUGAGGUAGGCGGAAUUCGUGGUGUAGCGGUGAAAUGCUUAGAUAUCACGAAGAACCCCGAUUGCGAAGGCAGCUUACUAAACUGUGACUGACAUUGAUGCUCGAAAGUGUGGGUAUCAAACAGGAUUAGAUACCCCAGUAGUC